rnacentral:lncRNA from 1 species
CACGGUUGUCCAUGCUUCAGUCAUGCCUAUCCAAUGAAGUCUCCAUAAAAGGCCCAAGAGGACCAGGUACGCAGAACUUCUGGACAGCUGAGCUGGUGAAGGCUUGCAGGAAGGUGAACAAGAAUUCACCCAUGUGUUGGGAUGAUGGUGCACCCCAACUCCACGGGAAUAGAAGCUCCCGUGCUCAGGACCCUUCCAGACCUCGCCCUAUGUGCCUCUUCAUCUGGGUGUUUAUUCGUAUCCUUCAAAAUAUCCUUCAUAAGAAACUGAAGAAGUCAUCUACCAGGUUGUGAGGACAUACAAACAGCCUUUGGAGAGGCCCACGUGGGAAGAAACAGAUCUCUCAUUAACUACCAGCACCACCUUGCCAGCCUUGUGACUGUAUCUCCUUGAAAGUAGACCUUCCACCUGCAGUCAAUUUUGAUGUUGCAGCCCCAGCUGACAUCUUGACUACAGCCUCACGAGAUGCACUGGGCCAGAACCUCCCAGCUCCGCCAUUCCAGAAUUCAUGAUCUACACAAACCUUUAUCCACCGGUGGACACUUA